AGAGUUUGAUCCUGGCUCAGGACGAACGCUGGCGGCGUGCCUAACACAUGCAAGUCGAGCGGGGAGAGAUUUUCGGAUUUCUCUUUAGCGGCGGACGGGUGAGUAACACGUGGGUAACCUGCCUCAAAGAGGGGGAUAGCCUUCCGAAAGGAAGAUUAAUACCGCAUAAUAUCAGGAAGCUGCAUGGCAUUCUGAUCAAAGGAGCAAUCCGCUUUGAGAUGGACCCGCGGCGCAUUAGCUAGUUGGUGAGGUAACGGCCCACCAAGGCGACGAUGCGUAGCCGACCUGAGAGGGUGAUCGGCCACAUUGGAACUGAGACACGGUCCAGACUCCUACGGGAGGCAGCAGUGGGGAAUAUUGCACAAUGGGGGAAACCCUGAUGCAGCAACGCCGCGUGAGUGAUGAAGGCCUUCGGGUCGUAAAGCUCUUUGAUCAGGGACGAUAAUGACGGUACCUGAAAACCAAGCCACGGCUAACUACGUGCCAGCAGCCGCGGUAAUACGUAGGUGGCGAGCGUUGUCCGGAUUUACUGGGCGUAAAGAAUGCGUAGGUGGAUAUUUAAGUGGGAUGUGAAAUCCCCGGGCUCAACCCGGGAACUGCAUACCAAACUGGAUAUCUGGAGUGCAGGAGAGGAAA
rnacentral:rRNA from 1 species